rnacentral:rRNA from 1 species
UUAACAGGAUUAGAUACCCUGGUAGUCCACGCCGUAAACGAUGAUAACUAGCUGUCCGGGGACUUGGUCUUUGGGUGGCGCAGCUAACGCAUUAAGUUAUCCGCCUGGGGAGUACGGCCGCAAGGUUAAAACUCAAAUGAAUUGACGGGGGCCUGCACAAGCGGUGGAGCAUGUGGUUUAAUUCGAAGCGACGCGCAGAACCUUACCAGCGUUUGACAUGUCCGGACGGUUUCCAGAGAUGGAUUCCUUCCCUUCGGGGACUGGAACACAGGUGCUGCAUGGCUGUCGUCAGCUCGUGUCGUGAGAUGUUGGGUUAAGUCCCGCAACGAGCGCAACCCUCGCCUUUAGUUACCAUCAUUUAGUUGGGUACUCUAAAGGAACCGCCGGUGAUAAGCCGGAGGAAGGUGGGGAUGACGU